GACGAACGCUGGCGGCGUGGAUUAGGCAUGCAAGUCGGACGGUAGGGCUUUAUCGUAAGAUAGAGUUUGAGAGUGGCGAACGGGUGAGUAACACGUAGGAAUCUACCCUUAAGACGGGGACAACCCAGGGAAACUUGGGCUAAUACCGGAUGAGAGUGCGAGAGAUUGCAUUUAAAAGGAUGGCGAAAGUUGUCGCUUAGGGAUGAGCCUGCGGUCUAUUAGUUAGUUGGUGAGGUAACGGCUCACCUAGGCAAUGAUAGGUAGGCGGCCUUAACGGGUGGUCGCCCACACUGGGAUUGAGAUACGGCCCAGACUCCUACGGGAGGCAGCAGUCGAGAAUAGUCUACAAUGGUCGGAAGACUGAUAGUGCGACGCCGCGUGAACGAUGAAUCCCUUCGGGGUUAAAGUUCUUUUAUAUGUGAGCAGUGCUUCUUAUAUUAACAGUAUGGGGAAGAGAUAUUAGCAUAUGAAUAAGCAACGGCUAACUCCGUGCCAGCA
rnacentral:rRNA from 1 species